rnacentral:rRNA from 1 species
GUUCGGAAUUACUGGGCGUAAAGGGCGCGUAGGCGGCCUUCUAAGUCGAACGUGAAAUCCCUGGGCUCAACCCAGGAACUGCGUCCGAUACUGGAAGGCUUGAAUCCGGGAGAGGGAUGCGGAAUUCCAGGUGUAGCGGUGAAAUGCGUAGAUAUCUGGAGGAACACCGGUGGCGAAGGCGGCAUCCUGGACCGGUAUUGACGCUGAGGCGCGAAAGCCAGGGGAGCAAACGGG